UAUAGUGCCAAAAUAAUACCGCUAUUUACAGCCCAUAUUUCACAACUUUAUAAUCCCAAGGUUAUGUUGCCAUAUAAAGAGCCCACAUGAUACCAACAUAGAGUGGACUACAGCAGUCACUCAGUUAAUUUGGGGGAGAUUUAUCAAAACCUGCGCAAACCUGCGGUUUAUCAACGCCUGUGCAAAAGUUGCCCAGUUGCCCAUAGCAACCAAUCAGAUCACUUCUUUCAUUUUGCAGAGGCCUCGUUAAAAAUGAAAGAAGCGAUCUGAUUGGUUGCUAUGGGCAACUGGGCAAUUUUUUCCUCUGGACAGGUUUGGAUUAUUCUCCCCCUAUGUGUUUCUACUUGCAGAAGAAACACGCCGGAAGCUGGAAGUGGUAUAUUCUACAGAUUUAUUUAAUGUCAUGUAUCUUCUUACGGUUUACCAUGGUUGUUAUUCCUUACCUGGCUCGAACAUUUUGUUCUGGAUGGCCUGCACCCAACUAUGCGCCACCUGGGCAUCUGGAGCUGUGAACGUCACCAACUGCAGAGACCAGCGCUGGGAAGACAUGCGGGACACGUGAUACACUAAAGGAGAAAAAAUGAAGAACUUUCUAUUCAGCAGGAUGCCCGUGAAAUGGAGGUCCACCCCCCUGCGGGUGUAGAAUAACCUCCUGUGCGUCAAAGCUGUGGGGUAUUAGCGGCUGAUGUCACUGGAAAUUCCAAAGAUAAGACGUCCAACCUGCGUCCCGCCAUUGAGUUCACAACCAGCCCGAGGCUGAGGGGAAGCUACAUGCAUGACCUGAUUUAGAAAAGCCUCAGGCCAGGGACUGGGACAUUGUCGCGGAACAAAGCGACACAUGAGUCAGAUAAACAUGUUGAAGGGAUCACUUUUCGCCUAGUAAUUUUCCAGUAUGUAAAACGGAGAUAUGAUCAUUUUUUUAGUCAUUGCCAUAGCACCGUGUAAACAGGAUUUUGCAUUCAAUUUAAAGUAAU